GUCGAGCGAACAGACGAGGAGCUUGCUCCUCUGACGUUAGCGGCGGACGGGUGAGUAACACGUGGAUAACCUACCUAUAAGACUGGGAUAACUUCGGGAAACCGGAGCUAAUACCGGAUAAUAUAUUGAACCGCAUGGUUCAAUAGUGAAAGACGGUUUUGCUGUCACUUAUAGAUGGAUCCGCGCCGCAUUAGCUAGUUGGUAAGGUAACGGCUUACCAAGGCAACGAUGCGUAGCCGACCUGAGAGGGUGAUCGGCCACACUGGAACUGAGACACGGUCCAGACUCCUACGGGAGGCAGCAGUAGGGAAUCUUCCGCAAUGGGCGAAAGCCUGACGGAGCAACGCCGCGUGAGUGAUGAAGGUCUUCGGAUCGUAAAACUCUGUUAUUAGGGAAGAACAAAUGUGUAAGUAACUAUGCACGUCUUGACGGUACCUAAUCAGAAAGCCACGGCUAACUACGUGCCAGCAGCCGCGGUAAUACGUAGGUGGCAAGCGUUAUCCGGAAUUAUUGGGCGUAAAGCGC
rnacentral:rRNA from 1 species